rnacentral:rRNA from 1 species
GACGAACGCUGGCGGCGUGCUUAACACAUGCAAGUCGAGCGGUAAGGCCCUUUCGGGGGUACACGAGCGGCGAACGGGUGAGUAACACGUGGGUGACCUGCCCUCAGCUCUGGGAUAAGCCUGGGAAACCGGGUCUAAUACUGGAUAUGACUCCAUGACGCAUGUUGUGGGGUGGAAAGCCUUGUGCGGCUGAGGAUGGGCCCGCGGCCUAUCAGCUUGUUGGUGGGGUGAGGCCUACCAAGGCGACGACGGGUAGCCGGCCUGAGAGGGCGACCGGCCACACUGGGACUGAGACACGGCCCAGACUCCUACGGGAGGCAGCAGUGGGGAAUCUUGCGCAAUGGGCGAAAGCCUGACGCAGCGACGCCGCGUGAGGGAUGACGGCCUGGUUGUAACU